UGGGGAUUAUUGCACAAUGGGCGCAAGCCUGAUGCAGCCAUGCCGCGUGUGUGAAGAAGGCCUUCGGGUUGUAAAGCACUUUCAGCGGGGAGGAAGGCGUUAAGGUUAAUAACCUUGGCGAUUGACGUUACCCGCAGAAGAAGCACCGGCUAACUCCGUGCCAGCAGCCGCGGUAAUACGGAGGGUGCAAGCGUUAAUCGGAAUUACUGGGCGUAAAGCGCACGCAGGCGGUCUGUCAAGUCGGAUGUGAAAUCCCCGGGCUCAACCUGGGAACUGCAUUCGAAACUGGCAGGCUAGAGUCUUGUAGAGGGGGGUAGAAUUACAGGUGUAGCGGUGAAAUGCGUAGAGAUCUGGAGGAAUACCGGUGGCGAAGGCGGCCCCCUGGACAAAGACUGACGCUCAGGUGCGAAAGCGUGGGGAGCAAACAGG
rnacentral:rRNA from 1 species